rnacentral:misc_RNA from 1 species
AACGCACGAGACCUGCGGACCUGCGGAGGGAUCAUUAGUGAACGCCCUCACGGGCUUAUAACUGUUCCAAACCUCUGUGAACCGUGCCCUUCGGGGCUAUUUUACAAACAUGGUGUAAUGAACGUCAUAUAUCAUAACAAAACAAAACUUUCAGCAAUGGAUCUCU